rnacentral:rRNA from 1 species
GCACAAGCGGUGGAGCAUGUGGUUUAAUUCGACGCAACGCGCAGAACCUUACCAGCCCUUGACAUCCCGGUCGCGGACUCCAGAGACGGAGUCCUUCAGUUCGGCUGGACCGGAGACAGGUGCUGCAUGGCUGUCGUCAGCUCGUGUCGUGAGAUGUUGGGUUAAGUCCCGCAACGAGCGCAACCCCCGUCCUUAGUUGCUACCAUUUAGUUGAGCACUCUAAGGAGACUGCCGGUGAUAAACCGCGAGGAAGGUGGGGAUGACGUCAAGUCCUCAUGGCCCUUACGGGCUGGGCUACACACGUGCUACAAUGGCGGUGACAAUGGGACGCUAAGGGGCAACCCUUCGCAAAUCUCAAAAAGCCGUCUCAGUUCGGAUUGGGCUCUGCAACUCGAGCCCAUGAAGUUGGAAUCGCUAGUAAUCGUGGAUCAGCACGCCACGGUGAAUACGUUCCCGGGC